GGGCAAUCUGCCCUUCACUCUGGGACAAGCCCUGGAAACGGGGUCUAAUACCGGAUAACACUCUGUCCUGCAUGGGACGGGGUUAAAAGCUCCGGCGGUGAAGGAUGAGCCCGCGGCCUAUCAGCUUGUUGGUGGGGUAAUGGCCUACCAAGGCGACGACGGGUAGCCGGCCUGAGAGGGCGACCGGCCACACUGGGACUGAGACACGAUCAAAACUUAUACGGGAGGCAGCAGUGGGGAAUAUUGCACAAUGGGCGAAAGCCUGAUGCAGCGACGCCGCGUGAGGGAUGACGGCCUUCGGGUUGUAAACCUCUUUCAGCAGGGAAGAAGCGAAAGUGACGGUACCUGCAGAAGAAGCGCCGGCUAACUACGUGCCAGCAGCCGCGGUAAUACGUAGGGCGCAAGCGUUGUCCGGAAUUAUUGGGCGUAAAGAGCUCGUAGGCGGCUUGUCACGUCGGAUGUGAAAGCCCGGGGCUUAACCCCGGGUCUGCAUUCGAUACGGGCUAGCUAGAGUGUGGUAGGGGAGAUCGGAAUUCCUGGUGUAGCGGUGAAAUGCGCAGAUAUCAGGAGGAACACCGGUGGCGAAGGCGGAUCUCUGAGCCAUUACUGACGCUGAGGAGCGAAAGCGUGGGGAGCGAACAGGAUUAGAUACCCUGGUAGUCCACGCCGUAAACGUUGGGAACUAGGUGUUGGCGACAUUCCACGUCGUCGGUGCCGCAGCUAACGCAUUAAGUUCCCCGCCUGGGGAGUACGGCCGCAAGGCUAAAACUCAAAGGAAUUGACGGGGGCCCGCACAAGCAGCGGAGCAUGUGGCUUAAUUCGACGCAACGCGAAGAACCUUACCAAGGCUUGACAUAUACCGGAAAGCAUCAGAGAUGGUGCCCCCCUUGUGGUCGGUAUACAGGUGGUGCAUGGCUGUCGUCAGCUCGUGUCGUGAGAUGUUGGGUUAAGUCCCGCAACGAGCGCAACCCUUGUUCUGUGUUGCCAGCAUGCCCUUCGGGGUGAUGGGGACUCACAGGAGACUGCCGGGGUCAACUCGGAGGAAGGUGGGGACGACGUCAAGUCAUCAUGCCCCUUAUGUCUUGGGCUGCACACGUGCUACAAUGGCCGGUACAAUGAGCUGCGAUGCCGCGAGGCGGAGCGAAUCUCAAAAAGCCGGUCUCAGUUCGGAUUGGGGUCUGCAACUCGACCCCAUGAAGUCGGAGUUGCUAGUAAUCGCAGAUCAGCAUUGCUGCGGUGAAUACGUUCCCGGGCCUUGUACACACCGCCCGUCACGUCACGAAAGUCGGUAACACCCGAAGC
rnacentral:rRNA from 1 species